rnacentral:tRNA from 1 species
GGGCCGUUAGCUCAACUGGUAGAGCAACUGACUCUUAAUCAGUAGGCUCGGAGUUCGAGUCUCCGACGGCCCACCA